rnacentral:rRNA from 1 species
GACGAACGCUGGCGGCGUGCUUAACACAUGCAAGUCGAACGGAAAGGCCCUGCUUUUGUGGGGUGCUCGAGUGGCGAACGGGUGAGUAACACGUGAGUAACCUGCCCUUGACUUUGGGAUAACUUCAGGAAACUGGGGCUGAUACCGGAUAGGAGCUCCUGCUGCAUGGUGGGGGUUGGAAAGUUUCGGCGGUUGGGGAUGGACUCGCGGCUUAUCAGCUUGUUGGUGGGGUAGUGGCUUACCAAGGCUUUGACGGGUAGCCGGCCUGAGAGGGUGACCGGCCACAUUGGGACUGUGAUACGGCCCAGACUCCUACGGGAGGCAGCAGUGGGGAAUAUUGCACAAUGGGCGGAAGCCUGAUGCAGCAACGCCGCGUGCGGGAUGACGGCCUUCGGGUUGUAAACCGCUUUCGCCUGUGACGAAGCGUGAGUGACGGUAAUGGGUAAAGAAGCACCGGCUAACUACGUG